rnacentral:rRNA from 1 species
AGGUAGCGAAAUUCCUUGUCGGGUAAGUUCCGACCUGCACGAAUGGCGUAACGAUGGCCACACUGUCUCCUCCCGAGACUCAGCGAAGUUGAAAUGUUUGUGAUGAUGCAAUCUACCCGCGGCUAGACGGAAAGACCCCAUGAACCUUUACUGUAGCUUUGCAUUGGACUUUGAAUCAAUCUGUGUAGGAUAGGUGGGAGGCUUUGAAGCGGGGACGCCAGUUCUCGUGGAGCCAACCUUGAAAUACCACCCUGGUUCAUUUGAGGUUCUAACCUUGGCCCGUUAUCCGGGUCGGGGACAGUGCAUGGUAGGCAGUUUGACUGGGGCGGUCUCCUCCUAAAGUGUAACGGAGGAGUUCGAAGGUACGCUAGGUACGGUCGGACAUCGUGCUAAUAGUGCAAUGGCAUAAGCGUGCUUAACUGCGAGACCGACAAGUCGAGCAGGUACGAAAGUAGGACAUAGUGAUCCGGUGGUUCUGUAUGGAAGGGCCAUCGCUCAACGGAUAAAAGGUACUCUGGGGAUAACAGGCUGAUACCGCCCAAGAGUUCAUAUCGACGGCGGUGUUUGGCACCUCGAUGUCGGCUCAUCACAUCCUGGGGCUGUAGCCGGUCCCAAGGGUAUGGCUGUUCGCCAUUUAAAGUGGUACGUGAGCUGGGUUUAAAACGUCGUGAGACAGUUUGGUCCCUAUCUGCCGUGGGCGUUGGAUAUUUGAAGGGGGCUGCUCCUAGUACGAGAGGACCGGAGUGGACGAACCUCUGGUGUACCGGUUGUCACGCCAGUGGCAUUGCCGGGUAGCUAAGUUCGGAAGAGAUAACCGCUGAAAGCAUCUAAGCGGGAAACUCGCCUUGAGAUGAGAUUUCCCGGAGCCUUGAGCUCCUUGAAGGGUCGUUCGAGACCAGGACGUUGAUAGGCUGGGUGUGGAAGUGCAGUAAUGCAUUAAGCUAACCAGUACUAAUUGCCCGUACGGCUUGUCCCU